GAACAUUGAGUUCUAAUAUCCAAGGGCAGAGAAAAAUGGUAUCCCAGCUCCGGAAGACAGAGAGCAAACUAUUUCACAUUGUCUCUGCCUUUUUAUUGUAUACAGGUGCUCAGCUGAUUGGAUGAUACCUGCUCCCAUUGGGAUCUCACUAUGUUACUUGGGCUGGUCUCGAACUCCUGGCUUCAAGUGAUCCUCCCAUCUCAAUCUCCCAAAGUGCUGUGACUACAGGUGUGAGUCACUGUGCCACGCCCAACCUGAAACCUUGACUGCAACUCACCUCAGAGACUGCGACACACUGGCUAUGCCCCAAGUCAUAUGUGGAGAGGGCAGCUUUUCUCAUCCAGCUUGCCAGGUUUCUUGAAGAAAACAUUAGAUUAAAUCUGUUGUCUGAAAACUUGAACCAGAAGCCAAGAUGAAGAAAAGGAUUCCUGGGGGAAGAAAAGAACAGGUCCCAAAACCCAGGAGUUCAGGCAUACAGAGCAGUUUUCAAGCCUCUAUAGAAGUCAUCUUACAGCGAGUCUGAGCCAGUGGAAUGCAGUUAUAGUGAUAUGUGUGCUCCCAAGGUAGCCCUCAAUGCUCCUACUCGGAAAUACUCAUAUGUUGCUUCUGACUUGAAGCAGAGGAACUCACAACCUAAGAAGCCACAGGCUUGAAGAUGGCAGAGCACAAGAUGGCAGAAGUUUGGAAUGAAUUACUACUUGAAAGAGAAGCUCUUAUUUAC
rnacentral:lncRNA from 1 species